rnacentral:tRNA from 1 species
GGAGAGGUGGCUCAGAGGUUAAGGGCACUGGACAGUUCUUCCAGAGGUCCUGAGUUCAAUUCCCAGCAUCCACA